rnacentral:misc_RNA from 1 species
GAUGAAGAACGUAGCGAAAUGCGAUAAGUAGUGUGAAUUGCAGAUUUCAGUGAAUCAUCGAAUCUUUGAACGCACAUUGCGCCCUUUGGUAUUCCUUAGGGCAUGCCUGUUCGAGCGUCAUUUAAACCUUCAAGCCUGGCUUGGUGUUGGGGCUCUGCGUCUGCAGUCCCUUAAAUCCAGUGGCGGACACGCUAGGUCUCCGAGCGCAGUAGUUUCUCCUCGCUCAGGGCGUCCGGCGUGGGCUUGCCUCGCACCCAUCUUUUACAAGGUUGACCUCGGAUCAGGUAGGAAUACCCGCUGAACUUAAGCAUAUCAAUAAGCGGAGGA